AGUGAACGCUGGCGGUAGGCCUAACACAUGCAAGUCGAACGGCAGCACAGUAAGAGCUUGCUCUUACGGGUGGCGAGUGGCGGACGGGUGAGGAAUACAUCGGAAUCUACUUUUUCGUGGGGGAUAACGUAGGGAAACUUACGCUAAUACCGCAUACGACCUACGGGUGAAAGCAGGGGAUCUUCGGACCUUGCGCGAUUGAAUGAGCCGAUGUCGGAUUAGCUAGUUGGCGGGGUAAAGGCCCACCAAGGCGACGAUCCGUAGCUGGUCUGAGAGGAUGAUCAGCCACAUUGGAACUGAGACACGGUCCAGACUCCUACGGGAGGGAGCAGUGGGGAAUAUUGGGCAAUGGGCGCAAGCCUGAUCCAGCCAUACCGCGUGGGUGAAGAAGGCCUUCGGGUCGUAAAGCCCUUUUGUUGGGAAAGAAAAGCAGCAGGUUAAUACCCCGCUGUUCUGACGGUACCCAAAGAAUAAGCACCGGCUAACUUCGUG
rnacentral:rRNA from 1 species